rnacentral:rRNA from 1 species
CUACGGGUCGCUGCAGUGGGGAAUAUUGCACAAUGGGCGCAAGCCUGAUGCAGCCAUGCCGCGUGUAUGAAGAAGGCCUUCGGGUUGUAAAGUACUUUCAGCGGGGAGGAAGGGAGUAAAGUUAAUACCUUUGCUCAUUGACGUUACCCGCAGAAGAAGCACCGGCUAACUCCGUGCCAGCAGCCGCGGUAAUACGGAGGGUGCAAGCGUUAAUCGGAAUUACUGGGCGUAAAGCGCACGCAGGCGGUUUGUUAAGUCAGAUGUGAAAUCCCCGGGCUCAACCUGGGAACUGCAUCUGAUACUGACAAGCUUGAGUCUCGUAGAGGGGGGUAGAAUUCCAGGUGUAGCGGUGAAAUGCGUAGAGAUCUGGAGGAAUACCGGUGGCGAAGGCGGCCCCCCUGGACGAAGACUGACGCUCAGGUGCGAAAGCGUGGGGAGCAAACAGGAUUAGAUACCCGCGUAGUC